UGAGGAAUAUUGGUCAAUGGACGCAAGUCUGAACCAGCCAAGUAGCGUGCAGGAUGACGGCCCUAUGGGUUGUAAACUGCUUUUAUAUGGGGAUAAAGUGGGGAACGUGUUCCCUUUUGCAGGUACCAUAUGAAUAAGGACCGGCUAAUUCCGUGCCAGCAGCCGCGGUAAUACGGAAGGUUCGGGCGUUAUCCGGAUUUAUUGGGUUUAAAGGGCAUCUAGGCGGUAAGACAAGUUGAAGGUGAAAACCUGUGGCUCAACCAUAGGCUUGCCUACAAAACUGUUGAACUAGAGUACUGGAAAGGUGGGUGGAACUACACGAGUAGAGGUGAAAUUCGUAGAUAUGUGUAGGAAUGCCGAUGAUGAAGAUAACUCACUGGACAGAAACUGACGCUGAAGUGCGAAAGCUAGGGGAGCAAACAGG
rnacentral:rRNA from 1 species